rnacentral:lncRNA from 1 species
GGUGGGAGUCCGCAGAAAACCUGCCCGGUGGUAUGUCCUCUAGCUGCACCUGCGGGUCCCAAGCUACGCCCUGGCCUUCCCUCACGCACCUCCGCGCCUCUUAAGAGCUAGAAGGAGCAAGCUCCUUCGUCUCGAAUGUACUGCGCCGUUCCUCGUCCCUCAACCACCUGUCUCCGCUUCCCUUCCCCGAAGCCUCUCCAAGUCGCCGCACCCCGCGCAGUACCACACUCGCCGCCUACUGGGAAGCCGAGUCACGGGGCACCGUUCAGGUUCCUGCGCCCCGGUCUGCGGCCCCUCAGGCCUGCGCCGCCCAGGCCACGGUCCGUUCCCGCCUGCCUGCGAGGCAGCAGCGGAGGGAUAGGCGCGGCCGAACUCGGCAAGCCGA